GAAUAUCAUCAUCCCUAUGAUUGCCUCUAGGGCAUACCUCCAACACCUAGGUGGUCUUUUGUGUGGUGGGUGUCAUCGAGAAUCAAGGAGUCAAUGGUGACGCAAAGAACACGAUUUAGAUAGGUUCGGGCCGCUAGAUCGCGUAAUACCCUAUGUCAUGUGUGUUGAUUGUAUUGAACUCGAGUGAGUUGAGAGAGUUGUCUUUGAGGGGGUCUCUGCCCACCCUUAUAUAAUCGGAGGAGAAGGGUUACAAGCUAGAAUCCUAGUCGGUUACGGUUACAGAGUUCUACUCGGUGUAGGUAGAGUAGUUUCCAUAUGCAUACCUAACUAGUGUUCGGGAGUCCGAGUGGGAUACACUUCUUUGCCGCGUAGCCCCCGAGUCUUGAUUUCGUCUGAGUACGCCCCUUAGUGGGCUGCACAGGACCUACUCACGGGCCUGGGAUGCAUGCCUGACAUGCCUGACAGCCCGUACUGAAGUUUUAGCUCGACAAGAAAGAAUGCAACACCAACAAGAGGUUGAAGAAUUAAAAGAAAAGCUUGAACAUGUAGUUUCAGCAAGGGAAAGAGAUCAGGAAGAAACUAAGAAACAAAUUAAAGAAAUCAGGGAAGAAUUCUGGUCAACGCUACAACAACAAUUACAAUUAGCAUUGCAACAGGUAAUAACUUUGGACCAUGGUUCUCCUUUUUUGGCUCCUCUAUUUUAGCUAAUGUUCCGUGUCUUUUGGGCUAUGCUGGCUAUCCCAGGAACCAUCAACACCACACAAGUUCCAAACGGACCAAUUGUGAACAACAACUUCAUCACAC
rnacentral:lncRNA from 1 species